rnacentral:lncRNA from 1 species
GUGUAAUACUCAGACGCGUUGCAUAGGCCUAGCAUCGAGCGAAGCUAGCCACAAGAGCCAAAGGUUGCACACCGCACACCUAUGAUCUAGCCAAGCUAUUCCCAAGCGAAGCGAAGCUAUCCCCUAGUAUAGAAAAGCUUGCCCCUAUAGUAUAGCCAAGCUAGCCCCAAGCGUAGUGAAGUUAGCCGCUAGUAUUGCGAAGCAAGCCCCUGGCGUAGCGAAGCUAGCAGCUUUUGGAGGUUCUACGCUUUCCAUUCAAGAUGGCGGACAUUGUUAUCGCUCUCAAGUUUUCAGAUGAAAGUUUCUUUGACGUUCCUACUAAAAAGAGUAUUGGGAUCGUAUACGAAGUGAUUUCUGCUUUCUAGUUCCAAAAGUUAUUAUCUCCAGAAACUCCAGAUACUAUAAAGCUACAGUAGAUUCCAACAAGUAAAUAGGCCAGGGAAGAUCACGAUGGAACUACUAUUCCAGAAUGGCCGAAAUCUUGGAGGGAGACCCGUCAGUCAUCCCAUCAGUGACAAUAUCAUCACUGGGGGGUGUAAAAGUAAACACUUUCUCCGAGAUCUCCAACAUCCAGCAAGGUGCCACCCCUACAAAGAGCCCUAUCAAGAACAGCAAGGAAUAUCUCAGGAGACUCCUGUGUGCAGGAAACAGAGGAGAUCCAACAAGGAAUUGUCAGAGCAGCUUCAGAGUUAUUGUGAAAGGAGCCUGGCAAUUCAGGCAGCGAUGCUGGUGGAGGAGAGAAAAAGAACAGCAUUGCUAGAGAACCUAAGGAAGAUGUAGACGAUGAUAAAGAAAAGGAGCUUCUUCAUCGCCGUGAGCACUAUCGGCAUCGUCAUCCUGGUCAUCACGAUCAACUACAACUGGACCCUGGACAGAAGGCGCACCUGGGUCCUGUGGACAAGGAAUGAACCACAACUAACAAACACAGAGACCAGCAUAUUUGAACUGAUGGACAGCUGCCUUCAACACAAGGAAUCACUCUCGACAGAAGAGUUACUCAAGGCUCGUCAAUGCCUGAAGAGGGCGACAACCGAGAUAACUCUGAUGAAAGUCAAGCAGUCAGAGACCGAUGAAGACUUCAAUCAAACCAAGGCCCUGUACCCUCUGAGUACGGAGCGAGAGACUGCGAGACGGAGAGUAGAAUCAACGCGAGAGAGGUCUUCUACUCAUCACUGCCAAGAUGGACGCACUCAGCCACGGAAACUU